rnacentral:rRNA from 1 species
UUGACCUCGGAUCAGGCAGGGAUACCCGCUGAACUUAAGCAUAUCAAUAAGCGGAGGAAAAGAAACCAACAGGG